UGCAUAUCAAAAAAGCGGAGGAAAAGAAACCAACAGGGAUUGCCCCAGUAACGGCGAGUGAAGCGGCAACAGCUCAAAUUUGAAAUCUGGCCUCGGCCCGAGUUGUAAUUUGCAGAGGAUGCUUCUGGCGCGGCGCCUUCCGAGUUCCCUGGAACGGGACGCCACAGAGGGUGAGAGCCCCGUAUGGUCGGACGCCAAGCCAGUGUGAAGCUCCUUCGAAGAGUCGAGUAGUUUGGGAAUGCUGCUCUAAGCGGGAGGUAUACGUCUUCUAAAGCUAAAUACCGGCCAGAGACCGAUAGCGCACAAGUAGAGUGAUCGAAAGAUGAAAAGCACCUUGAAAAGGGGGUUAAACAGUACGUGAAAUUGUUGAAAGGGAAGCGCCUGUGACCAGACUUGCGCCGGGCGGAUCAUCCAGCGUUCUCGCUGGUGCGCUCCGCCCGGCUCAGGCCAGCAUCGGUUCUGGCGGGGGGAUAAAGGCGGCGGGAACGUGGCUCCCCCGGGAGUGUUAUAGCCCGCCGUGCAAUGCCCCCGCUGGGACCGAGGUUCGCGCAUCUGCAAGGAUGCUGGCGUAAUGGUCACCAGCGACCCGUCUUGAAACAACGGACCAAA
rnacentral:rRNA from 1 species